GGGUUCACUCCUACAGCUGUGUUUCAGCAGAGAAUAUAUACAGACAAGUAACUGUCAUAUACCUGAUGGUCUUACAUCCAAGGCUCAGCAUCUCUAGGCCCUGAGUUACACAGAAUCAAUUUGUGAUAGAUGAUUUUGAAGUCUGUCUUUUUCCAUGUCUCCUGUUAAUACAGAAUUCAUUGCUUGUUCCCAUGUCAUGCUGUAUCUAGCACUUUCUCUGUUUCUCUCUGUGUCUCUGUCUCUGUCUCUGUCCCUCUCUCUCUCUCUCUCUGUCUCUCUGUCUCUCUCUCUCUCAUUUGAUCUAGGAGUCAUGUGCACUUACCCUUUGGCAUAAUUCCAGUCUUGUCAUAAUUCUAGGCUUUCCAUGAUGGAAGGCUGUAGUAACAGUCUACAUAGGCUACCCCCAAACUCACUGGGCAUUACAGUGAACUCUGGCUUCUUCUGCCUCUACCUUCCUGGUGCCAGGAUUACUGGUAUAAACCACCAUGUCUGGUUUUAUGUAGCUAUGAGGAUCAAACCCAUUAUACAUGCUCGGCAAACACUUUACCAACUGGGAUACUUUGCCAGUCCCUAAAGCUGUAAUUCCAACCUUGGAUGAAGAUGCAGAAGCAGUGGGUAGCUGACCUUCUAUUUCUUACUGGCUACCCUUUCCAAGUCCCCUGGAUUUGGACCCCCCCCCCAUUCUGAAACAGAGGAUAGGGCAUGAGGAGGAUACAGUUAAGUGCAGGUAAGACUUUCAAAUGUCAUAAGAGUUGAGUACAAAGAAAACUAAAGGCUCUGGAUGUUCAAAUAAUUGUUCUUUUCCCUCACUUAGUUAUUUGAAAGAGAAUGUUGAAGAAUAUGCUAACUUAUCUGGCUAUGUUUGUUGAAGGGGGGAUGUUCUAGAACUCUCCCCGCCAAGUAAAAUCAUAAUCAGGCUUUGUGGAAAGACCUGAGUCAUCUUGGAGCAUUCUUGGGGAUGGGGGUUAAUGAGAAUUUGGUCCUUACUGCAAGGGUAAUUACUUGGGAUGAGCCAUAGCUGGUUCAACUUCCUAUCAAACUCCCCUGAAAACCCUGCAGUCUACCAUCCUCCAGGCAAAACUCAUUUACAUUUUUUAUCUCCCUACAGUCGGGUAUGAAAUUCCAGCGGUCAUGUUCAGGCAUAGCUUAACACAAGAGUCACCUCGGUGAGCAACAGCUUAAUUUUCAGUGACAUUUUGAGUCUGCCUAUCUGGGCUCGUGGAGACUUCUCUAGUGUGACAUGUUCAUUCUAGUGAGUCAAGCUUAGUGUUGAAGAUACUGAUUUGAAAAUUAAAUGUGGUUUUAUUACAUGGGGUACCUCUGUCCAGGCAAAGAAGGUGGCCUCUUUUCUUCUCCUCAUAGAGAUGCCAGAAGGAACUGUGACUCUCCCCUUGCUGGGGAUGAGUUGUAUUGUGUGGGGUGAGGGGGUAACCCCAUUUGGGAAGCUGAUGGGCCUGUUCCUAGAGGCUGGCCAGCUCUGCCUCUCCUUCAUUGUGUGAUUAACCUCUCCACCAUGGGGAAGAGAGAGGGGAUGUACUACAUUGACUUCCCUCUUUCGUGAAGAUCAGUGCUAAAGUGAUGGUUAUUAUUACUCUACUGUUGGCCAACUCACCAGGGGUAGAUUUGACCUGACUCACCUGGGGUUAUUCUAAUUUCUGUAUUGAGAAGUGAGGUACCCCCUUAAAGACCCAUAUUUUCAGUAAGUGCUUCCAUAAUUCUGCCUGGUUCACAACUCUGGGUUACUGGGUGAAAUGCAUUUUCCACUUGGAUUUCCAACUGUUGCUUAGAAUCUAAGUAGUGUGGGGUAAGAAGGAGAAAAUGAACUGGAUAGUAAGACUUCACAAAUAGAAGAAAUACCUGAGAGGAAGAGAGGCUGGGUAUAAGAUUAAAGAUGCAGAUACUCAAUGUGCACCGGGCCCUGUGGGAGAUGCAGACAGAAUGUCUUUAGGAGUUAGAGUCUAGAGCUGGGAGGAAAUCUUCUGUAGUGCUUUACUUACAGACCAGGGGACCUGAGUUCAAUGCUAGCACACAUGGAGAAUAGCCAGGCCUUAUGGUACACUUGUAAUCUCAGUGCAGAGACAAGAAGAUCCUUAGAGCUUGUUGCCUGGCCAGCCAGCCCUACUUGCCAAAUUUCAGGCCAGUGAGAGAGAUCCUGUCUCAAAACAAUGGGAAAACACCCAGGGUUUUCUUAUGUACACAUGUACACAAACACACAAACACACACACACACAGAGACAGAGAGAGAGAGAGGAAUGCACACACAGUUCCAGUCUCUUUAUUAGUACCCGAAGAGUGAGUGUGCCUGCCCACUUCUCCUCAGUGUGUAAGAAGCCUUGAGGGUCAAGGACCCCAGUCUUUGCUGGAAAUGACAGUGUGUAGUCAUGACCUCUCAAACAGUUUCACUGUAGACUUGUAAUUCUUACUUUACAGACCUAAAAGUAAAAAGGCUUAGUGGAGUCUGGGAACUUGUCUAAGACUCCAGAACAAAAGUGGCAGGUGUUAAGAUCAACUGUCACAUAGGCUUGGUACCAAAUUAUACUCUUUCCUCUACCUACAGAUGGCUUCUAAAGUAUGAGGAAGUUAGAAAUGGGACUGUGGUCUGGAAGAGGUGGCCAGGUGCUGAAGAUCUUUACCCGAGUGACUAACUUCAGAGCAAAGGGCUCGUGAAUGACAAAGUGGAGAAAAGGUCACAAAUGCAGGAAGUUGGGAGCCAUACUACUUAAGGUCAGAGGUUUUAUCAUCAAGAGACUGGUCUUAGUGGACACACACUACUCUUCUGGACUGAAAACCAAGAAGAACUGGAAUGUUUAUUCUGACGUGGCCCUUGGGGAAGAAAGGAGCUAGCGUGACCCUUGCUGCUUUCUCUUGGUGUCUGGACACAGCCUGGAUAUUUCUAUACAGGCUGGAUUUGUUCAUAGCCAAUUUUUCCUCAUUGUUAGGGCUUUCCUCUUGACCACAGCCUCUAGGAGGCAUAACCUUGACAUUUGUGAAAAAACGUACUAAUGUUGCCCUUUGGUUAGGCAUAAGUAGAAAUGGCUCUUUUACUAGUUUCCCUGUCUUAAAGCAAACACUGCCCCACCUCCCCCAAGCCUAAGCAGAAUAGCUUACAUUCUUUCUUUCCCUCCUAGAAGGCAGAUUAGCACCACCACCUGUGUUGGCUAACAUUCAUGGGAUUCAGCAGGAAAAAUAGUAUUAGGCAGGAAAAGCUUCCCCAAAUGCGGUAUGUUAGGAUUAUUUCUUUGGUUGUGAAACUGCUACCUUUGUAUUCAAAGGUGAUGAGACGUUUUCUGGCUAGAACAGAGUUGUCACAGUGAGGUGUCAAGUUCAAAGGAGACCCUGCAAAGAUCUUAACCAGACUUGAGCCAAAGUCUUUGGAGGAAGGCGAGCGAUUGAUGGUCAGGUUUGCUUACAUUUUCUACUUAUACAGUGCAGGGACGAAUGCGAUCAUCCCCUUGCUGAACCACCCCGCCCCUUAUCCUAUGGAAGGUAUUAAUGUGGGCCCUCCUUCCAACUGGAUCUCUGCCAGCUAGCUGGGAGCAGUUCAAUGGCUUCCUCUGUGAGGCAGUAUCAGGGAAGUUGCUAGUGCCUCCAGGUUCAAAGGGCUCUGAGUUGGCUGUGCUGGAUUUGGCAUUUAGAAAGGAGGACACCAUGGGCUGUGUGUUUAACCUUUUGCUGUCUAUAUUUUUUCCUUCUUCUGAAGUGACGGUAGUGGAGGAUUUCUGAGGCAUAUUGAGAAGAUUAGUGAGUUAUGAUUGGUGAUGGGCUUUGAGAUUCUUGGAUGAAAGGUGUUCCACAGCAAUUACACGCACACUUUGUUCUUACAUAGUAUCUUUCUUCCAGGGAACUCAAACUGCUUGAUAAAAAUUAUUUCAUUAAUCCUCACAGUGUCCCUCUAGUGAUUGUUAUCCCCUGUUUUCAUAUCAGGGAUCUGGAACACAGUAAGUAAAGUGACAUGGCUAAGGUGGCCCAGCAGGUCACUGGUAACGUCAACAGUGGGAUGCAGAUCUGGUCCAUUCCUCCAUCAAUUCAUUCAUUUGCCAACUAUUUGACCAUAUUUAUAGGUCAGACACUGGAGCUAUUGAAAAUAAAGAACAUUAUUGGAAAUUAAGUAAGACAUAUUCUCUGUCAUUGAAGAGAUGGAGUCUGUACACUUGAGUUGGAAGAUAAAUGGCGGUGUGACACAGCCAGUCCAUCACAAAGGAUACUUAAAUCAAGUGUGCAUCCAAAGUAGUCAAAAGGAAAGAGAAACAAAAGUACAAACAAAAUGCCAAAUAAGUAACUCUGGGUGACAAAGGAUGUCAUAUGAGCGAGUACAUCACCAGUAGAAAAAAACAUGCCAAAGAAACAUGUCUCAAACAGGAGCAUGAAGGAGCAUGGGAAACUCCCAUGGACCAAGAGACACUCCUGGCUGGGGGAGGGCAAAGCCAGUGUUAAGAGUAGAGAAGCAGCCUAAGCAGUCUGAACUUUAUAUGUGAGGCAACUGAGCAGCUUCAGUGGCUGCUCAAGGAAAGGGAACAAGGUUCCCAUCACAAGGAGUGUUCUCUUGUCUGAAGUUGCACUUUUUACAGAUUCAUCUUACCUGGAGUGAAAUAUGUCCUGCAAACAGAAAGUGGAAAUAUCACAUAGAAACAGUUUGUGAAUUUUAAGCUGCAGCCUUUCUGAGGGUCAAAGGUAAUAUUGUAUCAUUGUCCUGUGUCCCACAAGGGAUACACAUCAUUUCUUUGCCUGGAGUAUCUACCUGCCCAUUAAUCACUUACUGGCCAUCUUAGUGAUCAGGUCAGGUAUCAUGAUGUUGCCUCAUUUGUGUUCAAGUACCCCUUCUUUUAUACAACCUCAAAUACAAUAGUAGUGACCUUGGCUAUUUUCAUUCUUAAAGAGAACUGUAUAGUGCUUCCUUUAAGUAUCAUUCCUAGAAGGUUAAGUAGAGUGGAAUGAGGUGACAGAUGUGUAUGACUUCAUUAUAGUAUUGUAUCUGUUAUUGUUCAUCUCUUGUCAUGCCUGCUCCACAAAAUAAUGUUUGUCACAGUACACACAGUGCACACAGAGUCUGGGACUAUCCCUGCUUUCAGACAUCAAGUGGAGGACAGGCCUUGUAUUAUAUUCCCUGUGAAAGAAGUCUUCUGGUAGCUGAUUGUUAGGAAGUCUGUAUAUGGAAGAGCCUGUCUAAAUGUCAGAAAGACAUCUCCCUGACACAGCCUAUCCAGCCACUGGGCCAUCUCCUCUGUAUGAUUUAUUCUGUGUGUGUGUGUGUGUGUGUUUCUGGGGUUUAAACCAAAGAGAGUUGAACAGGUGGUCUUGGCAGGUGGUCUACCAGUGAACUAUCCAGUUGUCUUCUCAGCUUCUUAUUUUGAGGCAGAGCCUUAAUCAGUUGAACAGGCAGGUCUUGAGCUUACUCGGUAGCCCAGGCUGGCCUUGAACUUGUAAUCCUCUGCCUGUGUGUUCUAUGGAAGUAGAACUAGGCCACUAGGCCAAGUUCUCCUCUGUGGUUUUAGGACACAGAGCUCCAGUGCUGUUUUGAAAUUCUCCAUGGGAAUGUCAAGAAAACAGCUGCAACAAUGCUCCUUCAUGGCUACUGUGUUUUCUCAUCUCGAGAAGCACAGAACUGUCUUUUUAAAAUCAAAUGAUCUAUAACACAGCUUUUCAAUGAUGGUGCAGUGAGUGACUGCCACUCUUUUGCUUUGAAAUCCAUCAGGCAAAGUGGUUGAGUCUACAUCAAUUACUCAUUAUAGCAGAACAUGAGUCUUUGUUAUACUGUUUGUUAAGUAUCUCUCCAAAUUAGAUACAAGAGAACGAUCUUCAAUGCAAAAGAGUGUUGAUUUUUUAUUUCCCGUGAUUAACCAUUCUGUGAUUAGACAUAUUUAUUUUUAUUUUCACUCAUGCUUAUAACCAUGAAGUCAAAUUUAAGAAUGCGUCCCUGAUCACUUGUAUUUUGCUUUCUUUUCUUUCUUUCCUUUUUUUUUUUUCCUUGUCAAGAUUUCUUUUAAACAUCUGUCAGGAAAAAAAUUAGAAAAGUCAUUUUGCUGUGUUAGAGGCACUGAAAUGUUUUCCAGGUGUGAAUGGAUGCAGUUCUAUAGGCUACUAUGGGAUGAAAGAGGAAGGUGUUAGAAUCCUAGUUGUCUGAACGGAAUCCCUUGGCUUUUGAGAUAGGAAAGACACCAAUUCAAGAUAUCCUACAAAAUUAAAUCCUGACAUGUGACCAAAAACUGUAUUUUAACGAAUCAUUUUAUUUGUUUAUAUCUCUAUGUGAGUGUGGAGGGGGGGCGUCAGAGGACAAUUGUGGGAUUUGGUUCACUCCCUCUACUAUGUAAGUCUCAGGGACUAAAGUCAGGUGGUCAGACUUGACAGAAAGUGACUUGAACUUCAAACAAUCAGCCUCACUGGAUCCUUCUAUACAUUGGGUAUGUGAGAAUCACAGCUUGACCAUUUAGCCAGUGGCUUAUUUAAAGGCUAUACAAAGUAAGUGUGCUGCUUGUCCUUCCAUACAAUGAGUGUAUUGACUAGGAUAGGCAACAUUAUGCUGGCGGGUGAAGCAUCCAGGUAGCCCCAUGUGUGAUAAUAGAUGUGUAAUUCUUACUGGCGCAUAGCUUAUGGCAAGGCUGGGAGACUGCAGUGUGCUGCGGUUGAGGGUACGGGUCUGAGUUUCCUCUUCCUAGCAGCAUGCGCUUUUCACUAUUUCGUGGUGGCGACUGAUGAGAAUGUUCUUCUUUGUAUAUGUUUGCCUUAUUGGUUGAUGAAUGAAACACUGAUUGGCCAAGCAGCAUGAUAGGUAGGACUAGGAAACAAGGAGGAUUCUGGGAAAUGUAGGCAGAGAGGAGUCAUCAGAUGAUCCCAGGAAGUGACGUAGGUGAGCAGAAACGGCCACUAGCUAACCAUAGAGGCCUAGAGGUCUGUACAGACAGGCAGGAAGUGACAUAGUUGGGCCGAAUCAGUAUAUAAGUAAUGAAAAACAGGAAAUCACUCUCUUCUCUGCAAGACAUGUAAGAUACCAUAGGAGAAACAGGUUCCCGGAUCUUUUUCCAGUAAGAGAAGAACGCAUGGAAACACUUGGAUUUAUAGAAAAUGGGUUGAUAAUUAAGUCAGAACUAGCCAAUAAGAAACCAUAGCCACCUGUCAACAGUUUCAUAAUUAAUAUAAUGUCCGUGUGCUUCUUUGGGGGCAUAGAAGGGUCGGGGGAAGUUUUCCUAAACUCUGACUCUUCAUUUGAUUGCCAUUUCACUGGCCAAAGCAGGUCACAUAUUCAUGCCCAAUUUCAAGGAGAUGGAAAUUGCAUCCAUUCUGGGUGUCUACAGGAUGAAGCUCACUUUAAAAUAUGAUGCUUACUGAAAGUUAACAUGUAAAUACAAAAUACAUAUUGCCCUUCUCAAACUUGCAUAUUAUUUUGGAAAAUCAAGUAAUUUGUAAUCUGGUGUGCUGUGGGAGGCCAUACUGGUGGUGUUAAUAUGUAUGCUCUGCAAUAAAAAAAAAAGUAUUAGUUGGCUAGUAUUCCUUUACCUAAGCAUAAAUUUUUAAAGUGUCAAGAUUGGAUUGUCUUCUGUCUUUAUUCCUUUAUUGAAGGACUGACAUAGCAGGUACCAAAAUCUUCACAUGUAUUGUAACAUCAAUCAUUCUUUUUUCAUUUUUUACUUAUUGUGCGUAUGUGUGCAUGUGUGUGGAGGUCGGAAGACACCUUGAAGGAGUCAGUUCUCUUCUUCCAUCAUGUGGGAUCUGAGGGCUAAAACAGAUUAUCAGCUUUCACAGCCAGUGCCUUUACCUACUGUGUCAUCUUGCUUGCUCCAAUAAUUUUAACAUCAUAGACAUUCAUAAAAAGAACUAGGACAUCUGAAUUUGCUUUUCUCUAAAGAGAGGGGGAAGUCCCAUUUUUAUCACUUAGAAAAUAUUUAAAAAUUUUCCAUAAUUGGACUUCCAGUUUAUUUUCCAAACUGUAUGUUAAGUAAAAGUAAAAAAAAAAAUCAAAUGCCAUUUUGGAAAGCUUUUCUUUUUUCUUUUUUAAUUUGGGAACGAACUUGGUCAGGGUUAAGUGAAGUCCUUUGUGUUUGAUGUUGUGGGUGAUUUACAUAGAAAUUCCAUUUUGUGAUUGAGUUCAGUUAACCAACUAUAAGAAACCCUAACUUUCUGUGAAGACUGUGCUCUAACUCAUUGUGUUUUGGGAAUCACUAAUGAGCUAUUAUUUGGAAUGUUUAGGUGUUUUAAACUCACAAAAAGAUUGAUGGGAAAAAAUUCCUUAUGAUUUAGUCCACUUAUUUUUUUCCUUAAAUUUGACAAUGUCUGUCAUUCUUUUUAGUGUGUCUCAAGCAACACCUCUUCUUCAUUGGCAAGUAUAUCAGAGGGUGUUUGAUAUAUCCACCUGUUAGCUGCCACCCUUACUUUGAUGUCUGCAAUGUUUCCUCUUGGGUCAUUGUCCCAUUCCUGGCCAUUCCUGCCCACUCUCUCAUGAAUUAUAUAGAAUCAAUGAUUUGUUGUUCUGUUUUGUUUUUACAGAGGCAGAGUUACUACCCAAGAUGCAUGAUGGUCAUUUGAGGCUGUUUUUCUACUAUUUUAGCUCCUUGGGAUCUUAAGAGUCUUCAGAUUUACUUAUAUCUGAAUUCCAGAUGGUUUCCAGCUAAAGUCUUGCUGUGUGGACUUUGUAGGAGUUCUGUCUCACUGGAAAACUAAAAGUAACUGUUCCUGCCAUGCCGAUAUGAGGAUAUGCACAUAAAGAUGAUUCAGCCAUGGAAAGCAGAUCGAGCCUUUCCGAGCCGAGAGUUUGCAGAGAACAUCAGGCUUUGAGAACUGACAACUGGAGUCUAAGGCUGCUCUAGGGAGGAGCCUUGCAUUUUGCAAACAAGAAUUCUUCCUUACCCCUUGGUCAGUCUGUGCAACAAGUAAUCCGGAACGAUGCCAGAGGUAAACAGAGGCGAUAAGGAAAGGGGGGGUCUAUGCAUUUUCGUUUACCUUCCAUAAAGUUCAAACCAUGCAUCAUCUCUAAUGAGCUUGAUAAAGCGCGGCGAGGCAAAUGUGCCAUAAUUCAUCAUGCUUCCUGUUUCAAAAGUGACAGGCCACCUAUGCGAAAAGUCUUCAUUUCAUAACAAUGAAGAUGGAAAAUAAAAAGAGGAAGUGCAAUCAUCACAUUUAAAAUGGCAUCUGCCGAGGAACUCUUAAUAGCCACGUCCAGCAUGGAAAAUUGUCCGGAAUUAGGUUCCGCUUCGUUAAUACUACACCAAAACCUCCUGUUAGUGCCUAUAAAGAAGCAUUCAUUUUUGAAUAUUUUGCUGAAAUCUGGGAGAAGUUUUUUUAAACCUUUGCAAAAUUUUAUGGACAAUGUACUUUCUCAUCUGCAGUUGUUAGAAAGGCACCAUUAGCUUCUGCUAUUCUGUUAGAGUACGACACAAAAUGCUGAGAGGUCUAAAUGAAAUCCAUCCAGUAAAGGACAAUAAUGUACUCGGAGCAAUUUUCUGAGGAUGUUUGCCUAUUUCCAGCAAUGGUUUUACAAGUGCAUCUCCUUUUGCUCAAUGAUUCCCUUUGGAAAUCAGCUGCAUUAUCUUAUAAUACAGACCUGAGCAUCUGAGACCUCACCCAAGAACACAAGAGGGAAUCUUCUGAGACUAUGGGACCGAGUCACAUCCUUAACGCUGCAAAUCAUUCUGCAAGGAGAUGAGGGAGGGUGAAUUGUGCAAAAACCACUGAUGAAAAGAAAUACUGACUCUCAGAACUGCAUGCCCUCCCUACGUAAUCUCAAAAUAUGUCUCUGUAAUGAGUGAAGAAGGAGAUUUGUCUUUAUUAAGAAGUUUAGGGAACAUGUUUAUUUAAAGUUAUAAUCUGCAUGGUAAUGAACAAAUAUCAGGAAUGUUACACAGGGAAAGGAGCUUGUUUUGUUUAGGAUAGGAGAAGUGUAUUUACACAAAGAUUUCAAAUACAGAAACACACUUGGUUCUAAAUAAUUGCAGUUUAUGAAGACUUGAAUCACACACUGAGGAGUGGGGUCAAGGGCUCUGGGCUAAAGAGGAAAGUUUUCUCAGUGGCGCGCUCCAUACAUUAGGAUGCAUUCUGCCUGGUGGAUUGACAGAAAACAGCCCUGUGGGACUUACAGUAAUUGAUUUUAUAUGGUAUGAAUGGAUGCAGAGUCGCAAAGCCAGUUCCAUCAUGGUUACGUCCUUACCAUUGGCCCUCUGUUUAAUGGCAUUCCAGGGACAAACAGCCCAGUCUCUUACCACUGAAUUAUUAAUACGUCAAAUCAUAUUUUAAGUAAACUGUUUUAUUUGGGAGAGGGUCUUCAAGAAGAGUUUCUUUCUUUGAGGUGUUUUAGUCUGAGUUUGAAUUUCUUUGAGUUAUAUCAUGAAACAGAAAAAUGCAAAAAGAGAUUAUUUAAAUCUUUAUGAUCUACCCAUAUUUAUUUUUAUAAUGAAAUGCCAAACUGAGUUCUCACAAAAGUUUAUUCUUUUGUGAUCUCGCCCAAAGAAGUAUUCUAGUAAGGACGAUGGCUCUGUCUUCUUUAUCCUUGCCUAGGCCAAGAAGGUGAAAGCUCUUAACAGUCCUUUCAGAACCUCAGGAGCAGUGCAGGGGGUAAAGAGAGAAACACGGAUUCCUAGCUGUGUAACUGAUUCAGUGGAGUGGUGUACCAGCCUUCCUUCAGGGCCUGGGGGCUAUUCUCCUGGUCGAUAAGCUGGAAGGAAGUACUCAGUUCAAUUAGCUCACUUGACUGACCUCCAUACACACUUCAUGGUCUUUCUUCCUUCCUUCCUUCCUUCCUUCCUUCCUUCCUUCCUUCCUUCCUUCCUUCCUUCCUUCUUUCCUUCCUGUCCCUCUGUUCCCCUUUCCUACUGGAGACUUUUUUUUCUUUUAAGAGAAGGAUAUAGGGCUGGAGAGAUGACUCGACAGUUAAAAGUGCCCUCUACUCUUCAACAGGACCCACGCUUGGUUCCCGGCACUACUCACAGCAACUCUAACUCUAGUUCCAGAGAUUCCGACGCCCUCUUUUGGCCUCUGCAGGUACUGCACACAUUCAGAUACAUGUAGGCAAAACACUCAUGCACAUAACUAAAUACUUUACCAUGACAGCCCAGGAACUGAAGGUUCACUUUCUGACCAUACCCUGUUUAAUCACAGACACUAACUUUCUUGUCCUCCCUUCCUUCUCCUUUUCUUUCUCCUGCUUCUUUCCCGUUUCUCUCUUCUGUUUUUCUUCUUCCUUUUCCUUUCUCCCCUAUCUCCUUUGUCUCUCUCCUCCUUCUCAUCCUCACAUCCUUCUCCCAUUUCCCUUCACAGUCACAGCUGCCAAAGGCUUGCAAGCCAGCCAGAGAAUGCUUUCAUCCCAGGGAGAUGUUACUGGUGAGGGCUCUGACCCAUGGCCCUCUCCCACCUCCCCAUUAACUGAGGUAUGGGGUACAUGCAGGACUCACAUUCCCUACUUCUCCUCCUUUCGAAUUUGUGACCUAAUCACACCCAAUGAGAAAAGGAAGAACGCUUGAGAUGGCGGGAAAUCACAAAACAUCUGUGCUUGUCCAAAUGCCGGCAGCCACAUUAAUGAGUCAGUAUAGCAUCUCGAUUACUACUGGAAGCAAAGUGCCCUAGCUGUAGUACUCAGACAGGGCCAUGGAUAUCCUUUAAAGAGCUGUGGGAAGAAAACUGUGGCUAGCCAACUCUGUCUAAAACAAAAAUAAUUAAAAUUCUUCCUUUGUGAUAAAAUUCAUGUAAAAACUAACUUUGUGGAGCUCCUAGAGGAAGCAGGGGAGAAUUGAAAGUGAUGGCUGGACAGUGAAAUUGUGAGAGCUCUGGGAAAGUAACUUAGCUGAAAGACAAUUGUGGGCUCUAUUUAUUGCCACCACAGCAAGCUGCUUCUCAGGUCCAGAUGGGGAUCAAGAAGUGGGACUCAGCCCUGGGCUUGCUCUGCAAGGGGGAUCAUGGUCUACUUCAAUUAAAACAACUGGAUUCUUGCAUUUGGAACAUAGGAAACCUAAUUACACUCUACACUCUGGUGAAUUCUCCUCAGUCUACCAAACAUAGGGUGGGGCGAGGGACAGUGGCAGAAAACUGAAAGGCCAAAACAGAGAAAAGAGUCCCUAAGACCUAAUGAAUCCAAACUAAACACCUCUCCACAGAAAUGUCAAACAUUUCUCUUAGCACAAAACAAGGCUUAAAGAAUCCCCUCCUUUUGUCUCUGGUCUAAUUCCUUAAGCAGAGAGGGGGAUUUUCCUCUGGGAGUGUUAUUUCACAAAGAAAGAAACAGCAAAUAAACAAAAGACUCUCAAAGAGAGAGAGAGAGUAUAAAUAAAAUUCAUGACUCUUUAAAGAGUUUACCCCGAAAGAAUGAACGUGGAGGGUUAUCACCAUUAAAGCAGCUCGUGAGUGAGAGCAGGGACGGGUUGAUAACCAAAAGGGAUAGGACUUCAUUUCAUGGGCUUCAGGAGAAAAGUGCACCUGCAUGUCUGCAGCGUGCAAACGAAUUACCCGAACUCCUUGUCUUGACUUCAUUUGUUAAUCAUAGUUUUCUUGUAUCUGGAUUUUAGGCGUGUAUUCAACAUAUGAUUUGUUUUUUUUUUAAUUAAAAAAGGCUGCAGGUGAUGUCUGUUGCUGUUUGAUUACAACACAUGAUCCUGAAAGAGUUCUAAGGAAAGGUUCUUUUACCAAAAAACAAAAACAAAACAAAACAAAGUUUUCUUUUCUCUCCUG